GACGAACGCUGGCGGCGUGCUUAACACAUGCCAGUCGAACGGAAAGGCCCUGCUUUUGUGGGGUACUCGAGUUGCGAAAGGGUGAGUAACACGUGAGUAACCUGCCCUUUACUUUGGGAUAACUUCAGGAAACUUGGGCUAAUACCGGAUAUGAGCGCCUGCUCCAUGGUGGGGGUUGGAAAGUUUGGGAGGUUGGUGAUGGACUCGCGGCUUAUCAGGCUGUUGGUGGGGUUGUGGCUUAGGAAGGCAUUGACGGGUAGCCGGCCUGAGAGGGUGACCGGCCACAUUGGGCCUGAGCUACGGCCCGGACUCCUACGGGAGGCAGCAGUGGGGAAUAUUGCACAAUGGGCGGAAGCCUGAUGCAGCGACGCCGCGUGUGGGAUGACGGCCUUCGGGUUGUAAACCGCUUUCGCCUGUGACGAAGCGUGAGUGACGGUAAUGGGUAAAGAAGCACCGGCUAACUACGUG
rnacentral:rRNA from 1 species